rnacentral:pre_miRNA from 1 species
ACCCCGCUCCGGAUCCCCCUACAGGAGGACCUGGUAACCCGCUCCAGAGCAAGACUGCGGGCAGGCGCCGCAGAGCUUGUGCCGGAGCGGGUUACCAGGUCCUCCUAUAGGGGGAUCCGGAGCGGGGU